UAGGGAAUAUUGCGCAAUGGACGAAAGUCUGACGCAGCAACGCCGCGUGGAUGAUGAAGCAUUUCGGUGUGUAAAAUCCUGUCGGUGGGGAAGAAACGUAUGGUGAGUAACUGCUCCAUACUUGACGGUACCCACAGAGGAAGUCCCGGCUAACUCCGUGCCAGCAGCCGCGGUAAUACGGGGGGGACGAGCGUUGUUCGGAUUUACUGGGCGUAAAGGGCGCGUAGGCGGGUCUUCAAGUCGGAUGUGAAAACUAUCAGCUUAACUGGUAGCCUGCAUUUGAUACUGUUGAUCUUGAGUACGGGAGAGGAGAGUGGAAUUCCAGGUGUAGCGGUGAAAUGCGUAGAUAUCUGGAAGAACACCAGUAGCGAAGGCGGCUCUCUGGACCGAUACUGACGCUCAAGCGCGAAGGCUUGGGGAGCAAACAGG
rnacentral:rRNA from 1 species